UUCAUAUACUUCUUUUGGAUUUUACACAACAAUAAAUUGAAAAACUAAGUGUUAAUCCCAAUCAAUUAUAGUCGGUUAUACGGAUCAUUUUUCGCUAUUCUGACCAAUUCCAAAUGAUGCCAAGAACUUGUGAAUCUUUUGAUACUAUUUACUUUCACAGUAUUUUGGGUCUUUCCUUUUCCUUCUCACUUUACCAUCCUGUAUAUUGGGACACUUUCACACUGGAAUUUGAUGCUCUAUGGUAGACAUGAUUAGGUCAUCUAAAUUGCACUUUCACACUGGAAUUUGAUGCUCUAUGGUAGACAUGAUUAGAUCAUCUAAAUUGAUCCUCUCUCAUUUUAUUCCAUUCUGUAUUGUAUCAACUUC